GACAGAGGGUGCAAACGUUGUUCGGAUUUACUGGGCGUAAAGCGCGUGUAGGCGGCUUGGCAAGUCGGAUGUGAAAGCCCACGGCUCAACCGUGGAAGCGCAUCCGAAACUGCUUCGCUCGAGUCUCGGAGAGGAAGGUGGAAUGCUUGGUGUAGAGGUGAAAUUCGUAGAUAUCAAGCAGAACACCUGCGGCGAAGGCGGCUCACUGGCCCGGUACUGACGCUGAGGCGCGAAAGCGUGGGGAGCAAACAGG
rnacentral:rRNA from 1 species